rnacentral:piRNA from 1 species
UCUAAACCAACACGUGGACUCAGGGUGA